UUGAUGUGUCAGAGAGGCCCUGCCUCUGU
rnacentral:sRNA from 1 species